GACGAACGCUGGCGGCGUGCUUAACACAUGCAAGUCGAACGGAAAGGCCCCUUUUGGGGUACUCGAGUGGCGAACGGGCGAGUAACACGUGAGUAACCUGCCCUUCACUUCGGGAUAACUUCAGGAAACUGGGGCUAAUACCGGAUAGGAAUCCUUGCCGCAUGGUGGGGGUUGGAAAGCUUCGGCGGUUUUGGAUGGACUCGCGGCUUAUCAGCUUGUUGGUGGGGUAGUGGCUUACCAAGGCUUUGACGGGUAGCCGGCCUGAGAGGGCGACCGGCCACAUUGGGACUGAGAUUCGGGCCAGAAUCCUACGGGAGGCAGCAGUGGGGAAUAUUGCACAAAGGGCGGAAGCCUGAUGGAGCAACGCCGCGUGCGGGAUGACGGCCUUCGGGUUGUAAACCGCUUUCAGCAGGGGAGAAGCUUGUGGUGACGGUACCUGCAGAAGAAGCACCGGCUAACUACGUG
rnacentral:rRNA from 1 species